AGCAGCCGAAGGCAGCGAGUAACUACACCUCCCAAUGCUCUUAAGCAACGGAAGUGACUUAGAGCAGACUGAAUUAGAGGGUUCGGGUAAAAAUGACUGAAUAUUUAGCUGCGAUAUUCGAGACUGAGGACAAGUGAGAACGGGCGCAAGCAAUGGCCCAUCGCGGGGCCGGGAACGGCGUACUUAGUUCCCUGGUUGCUGGGCGGCGUGGGUAUCAAGCCUCCCUGGCCAUCGGUUCGCCUCUGUCUUUGCACCUCUUCCAGGCUUAACUGCUCUUUUUAUUUUAAGGUCGGGGUCUGCCGGCAUGGGGACCGGUGCUCCCGGCUUCACAACAAACCAACUUUCAGCCAGACCAUAGUGCUGCUCAGCUUGUACCGGAAUCCUUAGAACACCGCCCAAACCGCAGACGAAUGGCACUGCGAGGGACCAUUUCUUGGGGGCAGGGCAGAUAGCCCUCAGCAGGCCACCCCCUGAUUCCACUCGACCCUCUCCAGGUUGCCUGAGCAACGUGGAGGAGCUGUUCACAGAACUGCAGGAGAAGUCCAGGGAGAUUGAAGAGAUGAAUGUGUGUGACAAUUUGGGGAACCACCUCAUGGGCAAUGUCUUUGUGAAGGUGCCUGCUUUCCCGCCAUUAGAGCCCAGAAGUAGGGGCAUUUCAGUACGUAAAGGCCACCACUGAAGUUUCAUAGCUUGAAGUCCGUCACUAAAUCCAGUCCAACCCCAGAGCUGCUAACUAAUCCCCUGAAGAUUUCUGAGUUUGACUGCGGACCCUGACUGACUUUCCCCUCAGUUUUGGUUUGAAGAGGAUGCUGAGCCGGCAGGAGUUGAACUCAGUAACCGCUGGUUGAGUGGGCAGGCUGUGCGUGCUGAGCUGUCUCCUGUCUCCGACUUCCGGGAGUUAUGCUGUCAACAGUAUGAGAUAGGGUAUGGCAGUACAGGGGUGGCAUGGGCACCUGGAGUCCCAGACCCCUGUGUGUGUGUUGGUGGGGCUGUCAAUGAUAAUGUCCCCCUCCAGUCAUCCAUUUAUUCAUUUAUCCUCAACCUAGAGAAUGUACCCGUGGUGGCUUCUGCAACUUUAUGCACCUGCAACUCAUCUCCCGGAAGCUAUAUGGGUAGUAACCCAGGCAUAGGUAUCUCAGGACCAGCCUGCUAAGACUUCUUAUACCCUAACGUUCCUUUAUUUUGAGAUGAAUCUGAUCCUAUGCCUCAAUAACAGUGUCUCAAGUCUUUGGUAUCCUAAGACUAGCACUGAGCCCCAACACCCAAACCAUCCUGAGAUCCAAAUCCAAGAGCUUG